rnacentral:rRNA from 1 species
GGACGACGCUGGCGGCGUGCCUAAUACAUGCAAGUCGAACGGUCUUUCUAUGGAAGCUUGCUCCACUGAGAAGAUAGUGGCGAACGGUGAGUAACACAUGGGUAACCUGCCCAUAAGAGGGGGAUAACAUCCGGAAACGGGUGCUAAUACCGCAUAGUUUUCUUGAUCGCAUGAUUGAGAAAGGAAAGACGGCCUUUGUGCUGUCGCUUAUGGAUGGACCCGCGGCGUAUUAGUUAGUUGGUGAGGUAAUGGCUCACCAAGACGAUGAUACGUAGCCGACCUGAGAGGGUGAUCGGCCACAUUGGGACUGAGACACGGCCCAAACUCCUACGGGAGGCAGCAGUAGGGAAUCUUCCGCAAUGGACGAAAGUCUGACGGAGCAACGCCGCGUGAGUGAAGAAGGUUUUCGGAAUCGUAAAACUCUGUUGUCAGAGAAGAACAAGUUGGAGAGUAACUGCUCCAGCCUUGACGGUAUCUGACCAGAAAGCCACGGCUAACUACGUGCCAGCAGCAGC